rnacentral:tRNA from 1 species
GCCUUCGUGAUGUAGUGGUCAGCACACUCGACGCGUAACCGAGAGGUCCAUGGUUCAAAUCCCGGUGAGGGCA